rnacentral:lncRNA from 1 species
GUGGGAGAACCCUGGAGCUGUGGGCCAGCCUUGGCUCCUCUGUGGGCACAUCUCUUGAGCUGCUGGGACAUCAGGGUGAGGAGCAGCCCUAAAUUUUCAUAUGAUCUGAGAAGCCAGAAGAAUCUGAAACCACAAACCUCUGUCAUCUCCAGUCACUACAAGGAACGAGAUAGACAGGUCCCGGGAUGAAGUCCAGGGUGUCCAGUGAGUGG